GCCAAUGUAGCUCGAUGAAAGAGCAUCGCCUCUUCAUACCGCGUCAAAUAGGUUGUAUACAGGCAAAGAUGUAGGUUCGACUCCUACCAUUGGUA